ACAGAGGUCUCAAGCGUUGUUCGGAUUCAUUGGGCGUAAAGGGUGCGUAGGUGGUGACGCAAGUCUGGUGUGAAAUCUCGGAGCUCAACUCCGAAAUUGCACCGGAUACUGCGUGACUCGAGGACUGUAGAGGAGAUCGGAAUUCACGGUGUAGCAGUGAAAUGCGUAGAUAUCGUGAGGAAGACCAGUUGCGAAGGCGGAUCUCUGGGCAGUUCCUGACACUGAGGCACGAAGGCCAGGGGAGCAAACGGGAUUAGAUACCCCGGUAGUCCUGGCAGUAAACGGUGCACGUUUGGUGUGGGCGGGUUCAGACCCCGUCCGUGCCGGAGCUAACGCGUUAAACGUGCCGCCUGGGAAGUACGGUCGCAAGAUUA
rnacentral:rRNA from 1 species